GACGAACGCUGGCGGCGUGCUUAACACAUGCAAGUCGAACGGUAAGGCCUUUCGGGGUACACGAGUGGCGAACGGGUGAGUAACACGUGGGUGAUCUGCCCUGCACUUCGGGAUAAGCCCGGGAAACUGGGUCUAAUACCGGAUAGGACUGCGCGGUGCAUGCCGUGUGGUGGAAAGAUUUAUCGGUGCAGGAUGGGCCCGCGGCCUAUCAGCUUGUUGGUGGGGUAAUGGCCUACCAAGGCGACGACGGGUAGCCGGCCUGAGAGGGCGACCGGCCACACUGGGACUGAGACACGGCCCAGACUCCUACGGGAGGCAGCAGUGGGGAAUAUUGCACAAUGGGCGCAAGCCUGAUGCAGCGACGCCGCGUGAGGGAUGACGGCCUUCGGGUUGUAAACCUCUUUCAGCAGGGACGAAGCGUGAGUGACGGUACUUGCAGAAGAAGCACCGGCCAACUACGUG
rnacentral:rRNA from 1 species